AACGAACGCUGGCGGCGUGCCUAACACAUGCAAGUCGCACGAGAAUUGGUAGCAAUACCAUAGUAAAGUGGCGCACGGGUGAGUAAUACACAGAUCAUCUACCUUUUAGAGGGGCACAACCUGUCGAAAGACGGGCUAAUUCCCCGUACGUCCUCGAGAGCGUAAGGCUCUUGAGGGGAAAGCUGGCCUCUAUUUAUAAGCUAGCGCUGAAAGUUGAGUCUGUGUCCCAUCAGCUAGUUGGUGAGGUAAUGGCUCACCAAGGCUAAGACGGGUAGCUGGUCUGAGAGGACGAUCAGCCACACUGGAACUGAAACACGGUCCAGACUCCUACGGGAGGCAGCAGUGGGGAAUAUUGGACAAUGGGGGAAACCCUGAUUCAGCAACGCCGCGUGAGGGAAGAAGGCCUUCGGGUUGUAAACCUCUGUCGGAGGGGACGAAACCUAUCAUGGCUAACAUCCAUGGUAAUUGACGGUACCCUCAAAGGAAGCAACGGCUAACCUCGUGCCAGCCGCCGCAGUAA
rnacentral:rRNA from 1 species